rnacentral:rRNA from 1 species
UACGGAGGGUGCAAGCGUUAUCCGGAAUUACUGGGUUUAAAGGGUGCGUAGGCGGCUUAGUAAGUCAGGGGUGAAAGGUCACGGCUCAACCGUGGAAUGGCCUUUGAUACUGCUGAGCUUGAAUCAGGAUGAGGUUGGCAGAAUGUGGCAUGUAGCGGUGGAAUGCAUAGAUAUGCCAUAGAUCACCGAUUGCGAAGGCAGCUGGCUAGACCUUGAUUGAGGCUAAGGCACGAAAGCGUGGGGAGCGAACAGG